rnacentral:rRNA from 1 species
UACCAGACUCCUACGGGAGGCAGCAGUGAGGAAUAUUGGUCAAUGGGCUUACGCCUGAACCAGCCAAGCCGCGUGAGGGAGGAAGGCGCAGAGCGUCGCAGACCUCUUUUGCCGGGGGACAAAAGGCCGGACUCGUCCGGUCCUGAGGGUACCCGGAGAAAAAGCAUCGGCUAACUCCGUGCCAGCAGCCGCGGUAAUACGGAGGAUGCGAGCGUUAUCCGGAUUCAUUGGGUUUAAAGGGAGCGUAGGCCGGUCUUUAAGCGUGCCGUGAAAUUUUGUGGCUCAACCAUGAGAGUGCGGCGCGAACUGGAGACCUUGAGUGCGCGGAAGGCAGGCGGAAUUCGUGGUGUAGCGGUGAAAUGCUUAGAUAUCACGAAGAACCCCGAUUGCGAAGGCAGCCUGCCGCAGCGUUACUGACGCUGAAGCUCGAAAGCGCGGGUAUCGAACAGGAUUAGAUACCCCCGUA